rnacentral:rRNA from 1 species
AGCGAGCUUGCCUAGAUGAUUUUAGUGCUUGCACUAAAUGAAACUAGAUACAAGCGAGCGGCGGACGGGUGAGUAACACGUGGGUAACCUGCCCAAGAGACUGGGAUAACACCUGGAAACAGAUGCUAAUACCGGAUAACAACACUAGACGCAUGUCUAGAGUUUGAAAGAUGGUUCUGCUAUCACUCUUGGAUGGACCUGCGGUGCAUUAGCUAGUUGGUAAGGUAACGGCUUACCAAGGCAAUGAUGCAUAGCCGAGUUGAGAGACUGAUCGGCCACAUUGGGACUGAGACACGGCCCAAACUCCUACGGGAGGCAGCAGUAGGGAAUCUUCCACAAUGGACGAAAGUCUGAUGGAGCAACGCCGCGUGAGUGAAGAAGGGUUUCGGCUCGUAAAGCUCUGUUGGUAGUGAAGAAAGAUAGAGGUAGUAACUGGCCUUUAUUUGACGGUAAUUACUUAGAAAGUCACGGCUAACUACGUGCCAGCAGCCGCGGUAAUACGUAGGUGGCAAGCGUUGUCCGGAUUUAUUGGGCGUAAAGCGAGUGCAGGCGGUUCAAUAAGUCUGAUGUGAAAGCCUUCGGCUCAACCGGAGAAUUGCAUCAGAAACUGUUGAACUUGAGUGCAGAAGAGGAGAGUGGAACUCCAUGUGUAGCGGUGGAAUGCGUAGAUAUAUGGAAGAACACCAGUGGCGAAGGCGGCUCUCUGGUCUGCAACUGACGC